UGCAGUCUUGCACAUGUGC
rnacentral:piRNA from 1 species